UCUAUUCCAAUUCCAAAAACAAAAUUUUCAUUACGUUACCCAAUAACUAAAUCAUUUCACAAAUUCAUUUUAUCUCUCACCCAUAUCCAAAUCCCUAACUUCCCAUUGAGAAUCUCAAUUCACCCCAAAACCAUAACCAUGGUACCGAAACAAAAUCAAUCGAUCACAUCACAGAACCCUUGAUUCAAGAACCACAAACCAACAAUUAAAACAAUGAAUUUUUAUCCGAACCUGUUCCUGAAUCAUUUUUUCUAAUUCUAAUCGCUUAUUAUUUUUUUGUUGUGUUUGAAGGUUGAUGAUGCUCCGUCGCUGUUUCACCAGUGAAAUCUAGAAACAAAGAUCUGUGGCAACGACAACAGAUUUCUAGCGGUGAGUGUGGUGGACGUCGAAUUCGAAAUGGUUGUUGUGUUUUACCGGGGGUCCGACGAUGAGCGUGCUCUGAAUGAAAUGUUUUACUGCUUCAUGGUUAAUGGUGGGUAUUGAUGCAUAUUCAUGACUUCAUAAAGGAGUGAAAAGAAUUGCGUUACAUUGAAUACUUUAUGCAUAGAGUGAAUCUGCUUCGGUACUAUAAAGUAACAUCGAUUGUUGUUUUUGAUGGUGGUAAUGUUCCUUGCAAAUCAGCAACUGAGAAAGAGAGGAAGUAUUUGUUUUAUUUCUGUUUUUUUUUAAAUUUUUCAUUUCAAGUUUUAAUAUUUGAAUCAAUUUUUUUUAUGUUUGUGUGAAUUUGGUUGUUUUAGGAAAAGGAAUGGUUAUCAUGAUUUGGCAAUGGCUAAGCUCAAAUAAGGGAAUGUUAAUGCUGCUUCAGAGCUAUUUCAGGUUAGGAGCAUUUUCAAAUUUAAAAUUAAAUACUAGGGACACCAAAAACACGACA